rnacentral:rRNA from 1 species
AUUGAACGUUGGCGGCAUGCCUUACACAUGCAGGUCGAACGGUAACAGGUUAAGCUGACGAGUGGCGAACGGGUGAGUAAUAUAUCGGAACGUGCUCAGUCGUGGGGGAUAACUACUCGAAAGAGUAGCUAAUACCGCAUACGACCUGAGGGUGAAAGCGGGGGAUCGCAAGACCUCGCGCGAUUGGAGCGGCCGAUAUCAGAUUAGGUAGUUGGUGGGGUAAAAGCUCACCAAGCCAACGAUCUGUAGCUGGUCUGAGAGGACGACCAGCCACACUGGGACUGAGACACGGCCCAGACUCCUACGGGAGGCAGCAGUGGGGAAUUUUGGACAAUGGGCGCAAGCCUGAUCCAGCCAUGCCGCGUGCGGGAAGAAGGCCUUCGGGUUGUAAACCGCUUUUGUCAGGGAAGAAAAGGUUCUGGCUAAUACCCGGGACUCAUGACGUACCUGAAGAAUAAGCACCG